CUUGAUUAACAUAAGAGGUCCAGCCUGCCCAGUGACAAAGUUUAACGGCCGCGGUACCCUAACCGUGCAAAGGUAGCAUAAUCACUUGUUCUCUAAAUAGGGACUAGUAUCAACGGCAUCACGAGGGCUAUACUGUCUCCUUUCUCCAAUCAGUGAAACUGAUCUCCCCGUGAAGAAGCGGGGAUUUAGCUAUAAGACGAGAAGACCCCAUGGAGCUUUAAGCAACAUAUUUACCUUCAUAUACUUAUACCAGCUCAAUAAAAAGAACUAAGUACUAGCUUUAGGUUGGGGGGACCACGGAGUAUAACUUAACCUCCAUGACAAACGGGCUACGCCCUUAUCCACGAGCCACAACUCUAAGAAUCAAUAAACUGAUGUUUAAUGACCCGAUAAUUCGAUCAACGAACCA
rnacentral:rRNA from 1 species